rnacentral:rRNA from 1 species
AACGAACGCUGGCGGCAGGCCUAACACAUGCAAGUCGAACGCCCCGCACGGGUUUUGGCAGACGGGUGAGUAUCACGUGGGAACCUUCCCUAUAGUACGGAAUAGCUCAUGUAAACUUGGAGUAAUACCGUAUACGCCCGAAAGGGGAAAGAAUUUCGCUAUAGGAUGGGCCCGCGUAGGAUUAGCUAGUUGGUGAGGUAAUGGCUCACCAAGGCGACGAUCCUUAGCUGGUUUGAGAGAACGACCAGCCACACUGGGACUGAGACACGGCCCAGACUCCUAAGGGAGGAAGAAGUGGGGAAUAUUGAACAAGGGGCGCAAGCCUGAGCCAGACAUGCCGCGUGAGUGAUGAAGGCCUUAGGGUUGUAAAGCUCUUUUGGCGGGGACGAUAAUGACGGUACCCGCAGAAUAAGUCCCGGCUAACUUCGUG